ACUUAUGAGAGUAGCGCACGGGUGCGUAACGCGUAUGCAAUCUACCUUUAACUGGGGAAUAGCCCAAAGAAAUUUGGAUUGAUACCGCAUAAUAUAAUUUGAUGGCAUCAUUAGAUUAUCAAAACUACGGUGGUUAAAGAUGAGCAUGCGUGACAUUAGCUAGUUGGUGAGGUAAUGGCUCACCAAGGCUCCGAUGUCUAGGGGGUCUGAGAGGAUGAUCCCCCACACCGGUACUGAGACACGGACCAGACUCCUACGGGAGGCAGCAGUAAGGAAUAUUGGUCAAUGGACGCAAGUCUGAACCAGCCAUGCCGCGUGCAGGAUGACUGCCCUAUGGGUUGUAAACUGCUUUUGUACGGGAAGAAACCCCUCUACGUGUAGAGGGUUGACGGUACCGUAAGAAUAAGGAUCGGCUAACUCCGUGCCAGCAGCCGCGGUAAUACGGAGGAUCCAAGCGUUAUCCGGAUUUAUUGGGUUUAAAGGGUGCGUAGGCGGCCUAUUAAGUCAGUGGUGAAAGCCUGGAGCUUAACUCCAGAACUGCCAUUGAUACUGAUGGGCUUGAGUACAGUUGAGGUUGGCGGAAUGUGUCAUGUAGCGGUGAAAUGCUUAGAUAUGACACAGAACACCGAUUGCGAAGGCAGCUAGCUAAACUGUAACUGACGCUGAGGCACGAAAGCGUGGGUAGCAAACAGGAUUAGAUACCCUGGUAGUCCACGCCCUAAACGUUGAUUACUCGAUGUGUGCGAUACACUGUACGCGUCUAAGCGAAAGCAUUAAGUAAUCCACCUGGGGAGUACGGUCGCAAGACUGAAACUCAAAGGAAUUGACGGGGGCCCGCACAAGCGGAGGAGCAUGUGGUUUAAUUCGAUGAUACGCGAGGAACCUUACCCGGGCUUGAAAGUUAGUGAAUGUAGUGGAAACAUUACAGUCCGCAAGGACACGAAACUAGGUGCUGCAUGGCUGUCGUCAGCUCGUGCC
rnacentral:rRNA from 1 species